GCAGAGAUCCCCAGCAGCUGGCAGAGUAGGACACAUCUCACUAUGGAGAUGCCCCUGGGCCCCGCCCUGUCCUGGCUGAGGAGGGAGCUGACUGAGAUGAGACUACAAGACCAGAGGUUGCUGGCACAGUUGAAAGACCUGCAUGCCAGGAUCCAGGAGUUCAGGUUUGAAUCUGUGUACUGGUCAAGUGCUCAUCCGAUCCAGGAGUCACAUGGAAACAGGGGUCGUUCCACAUCAGAGGACAUGGGCAUAGCUGCUCACAAGGAAGAUGAAUGCCCAUCUGCUCUGCAGAUUGUUCUUAGGAGAAAUUCUGCACCAUGAUAUUAAUUUAGCAACUAGAAUUUUUAUUUGUGUCUACUUUUCAAUAAAGCUUCCUCUGCAUCUCUAUGCUGCGCAGGAUACUUUUGUAUAGUAAUGUCUUUAUAAAUGUAUUUUAUGGCAUACCAAGUUCUUCAUGUCUUGGAUCAUUGGCAUUUCUGCUAGACUGUUUUCUAAUACAAAAAGCUGUGUGGCGUCACUAGGGGUGACCCCAAAACGCCGGUUCAUCUUAAGUGCAGUCAGACAAGCUUCCGGGGGAAGCCCAGCAUCACCGGGGACGCUGGGCAUGCCCCCAGAGUGAUGAAAAGGGGGUCAGGAUGUGUGGCCACAACCCCUUCACACGAUGUAACCCCCUUUCCCUACAAAAUUCCAAUAGAUUCUUCCUCUAACAUACAAUAUGACAAUUUCCUUAGAGGGACUACUCAUGAAGUACUGCUAAGUUAGUAUCCAACUUGCUGCAAGUAGCAGUGGUGAAUACUAAAACACAGGAACAAUUGAACAUUGCUCCAGUGCAGAGACAGGUGAUCCGAAGAUCAGCUAUUCUCUCCUGCCGGGAUCCUGUACCCAACCCCUCAGUCCCUAUCAUAGCUACUUCAGUAGCUGUGACACUUAGCACUGCUGAUACUAACUCGCAAAGAGCUAGUGCCCUUGUGUGAACUGGGGUAACAUGCGUAUAAAGCUCUAGAUGGCCAGUAGAAGGAGCCGAACAGAGCCGGGGGGUGGGGGUGGGGGGGGGGUGUCCCAAAGGAUCCCUUUUUGUAACCUGUAACUCCAUCCUAUAGGAAAGAGCAGGGUUUCAGGAACUAAUUCCAUCUGAAUAUGGUAUAGGAGUAUUUUCAGAGCUUGAUGAAUUUUGGUCCCUAUACAAUAGUAUGGGACAACAGGCCAAAUCGGGACUGAAAAGUAAGCAGGAGAUAUCCGUGAUAUCUCCUAUAUUACCUUAAUAAUGAAUGUCCUGGAUACUUAACUUCUACUGUAGUAGAUGAGAAUUUUAAUUUUCACCUACUUAUGUAGAAAUCAAGGGAUAAUGAAUAGACCACAAAGUCAUAUAGUCAGUGUCUUGUUUUACAGGAUUUAAUCCUUCUAUAUUACUUGAAACCUUUGCUGCUCCAUAAUGAUAUAUAGUAGUGAAGGCCUAUUUAAUAAAAGUCGUUUAUAUAUCUUAGAAGUUAAAGUCUCCAAUGCACAAGGAAUCCCAAGGAGAGAGGAAAAGAAAAUAGUUGUAGACUUGCCAAACUAUCCCUUUAAACCGGGACACUCGUGAAUUAGGCAGAUUCUGUGGCUGAUUGUAACCAGCUGGAAUGCAGACUUGAAGUCAGCCAACCACAGAACUUGUUUAAUUCAUGAGUGUCCCGGUUUAAAGGACUUUUAUGGUAAGCCUAAUAUAGCAUUAACCUGUGUCAUACUGAAAGCCAGAGUCACAAUCUUGUAGCCUUUAGAUCAGGGAGCACUGUUCUCAGUAUUACAUGUUGUAAAACGCUGUGUAAAAAUGUAAAAAAAUAAAUAAAUGUAUAGUUCACACUUUGUGAACAAAAAAUUCAAUAGUAAUUUACUGUGAAUGUUUGAAACAUAACUUCAGAUCUCAGUGUACUUAUAUUAUUUUCCAACUUGUGAUAAUGGGGCAGAUGUAUUAAGCCUGGAGAAGUGAUAAAGCAGUGAUAAGUGGAAGAUGAUAACGCACCAGCCAGUCAGCUCUUAACUGUCAAUUUACAUAUUGGAGCUGAUUGGCUGGUGCGUUAUCACCUUGCACUUAUCACUGCUUUAUCACUUCUACAUGCUUAAUGCAUCUGCCCGUCUGGGAGAAAAAAAACGGCUUAUUUAGCAAUAUACACCACUGUUACUUGUAAAAUAAAAAAUAAAAUUUUUGUGAGUUACAUUU